UCAUAAUGUCAAACCUUACCAACCAGUCAUGAAUGGUUUCACUGACUUUACUAAACUAAUUGUGAAUCUAUUAUUUGCAUUUUAAUUAAUACACAAAUUAUUAUAUUUUAAAAUUUACCUUAGUGACCCACAGCAUAAUCUGUUUUGUGAAUGCCAUAUGUUAUUUACUCUGGUGGUUUCAAACACAUGACAGUGCUUGGAAAUAAUAUGAAGUUCCCUCUUUUUAUCUACUUGAAUUUUUAUUUGAGGGUUUUUUUUCUCUGUUACCUUCUUUUGGUAAUAUCCUUCCAGCUAGCAUUAAAAUAUAUUUUUGUGUUUAACAGCCUAUGUCAUUCUUUAAUAACACUAAUAUUAAUCUUGAUUUGUCUCAUAUUUUCUGUGUACCUCUUUCUCCGUUAGCUAUAAAAUCUGUCAACAACUACAUUUGUCAUCCAUGAGUAAUCCCAUGUGUGCAUGCAGUAUAUGUGUUACUAAGCUUCUGUCCACUUAUCGUGUGUGUGCCUUCAUUCAAGAUUAUAUAUUAUACAAAUAAAUAUGUGUGUGUAUGUGUGUGUGUGUGUGUGUGUGUGUGUGUGUGUGUAAAUACUAUACAAUCGCCCCUUGAUGUAUUCACAGUAUUGGUCCCAGGACCUCUUUAGAUAUCAAACUCCUUGGAUACUCAUGUCUCUUUUACAUAAUUGCAUAGCAUUUGCAUAUACUCUACUGAAUCCUCCUAUGUUUUAAGUCAUUGAUAGAUUAUUAACACUUAAUAGAAGGUAAAUGUUAUGUGAGUCCUUGCUGCGUCAUUCAAGGAGUAAUGACAAAAAAAUUAGUAUGUGUUGAGUACAGAUGCAGUUCUUUUCCUGAGUAUUUUCAGUCUACUGUUGAUUGAAUCCCUGAAAACAGAACCUGCAGGAUAGAAAGGGGUGAUUGUAAAGUCUCUUGCACACAAAAAUAUGUAUGCCUUGCGGAUGCAAAUGAUUCUACAAGGAAAAAGAAUAAAAUGGUUUAAAAAUGAAAAGUGUUUUCCAGUGUCUUGAAGCCCCCAUGAUGGCUGGUUACCAUUGGUUAAUGGAGAGCUUGAGGUUGUUAUGAUUCAAGCCAAUAUUUGCAUCUCCUUAACUGUUUGUCUUUCCAAUUUUGUACCUCCUGCAUUUUGUCAGCAUGGUAGUACCAAAGACUGAAAUUUGUUCCUAAAACACACUUUCAGACUACCUAUUAUUCCUCUGUUGAUUUCCUUUCUCCUAAACUGCUUUUUUUCCUCUUCAACUCAGAUUUCAAAGAUGAUGUUUCUUGUCUUUUUCUGUUUCCAAUAAUCUCAAUAUUUUCUUUUCUUCUCUUUGCUUUGCUUUACUUUUGUUCUUUGUUUGAGACUGAACCUAUAUAUUUGCACAUGCUGGACACAUACUCUACCAUUGAGCUGCACCUCCAGCCCACCUUCAGAGUUUUGUGUGCUCUUUCUUUUCUUGUUCACCAUGGUUAACAGAUACCUAAUUAUGUUUUUAAAAUCUUUAACAUUCAAAUACAUGUAAGUAUAUUUUUCUUCAUUUUGGUUUCUGAUCUCUGGGCUUUAGCUAAGAUGAAUAAGUUAGUGUAUUAUGUUAACACACCAAAGAGGAUAGUAAUUAUAUGAAUCUUGUGCAUGGUUACAGUAUUAGCUCUUUACUGUCACAUAUACAGCAUAAACUUUUACUGCAUAUUAUUUAUCUAAGAUUAUAUUUCUGUCAAUGCUUUCAAAUACUGUUAGGUUGAAACAAAUGAAAGAAUUGUUUUCAUGUUAGAAUAUAAUAUCUGUUUCAAGAGGUAAAACUUCAAAUUUCACUCUGUACAUUCUUGCAGAUGUAAGAAACUUGUUAAAAUAAAAGAAACAAAGUUAGAUGAGCACAGAAGUGGAGACUUUUGUUUCCAUGGAGAUACAAAUUCCAGUGCACUUGAAUAUUCCAAAUACCAGGCUAAUCUACAAGCUAAUUUCUUAGUAGUUUUGGGAACAAUAACUACUUAGUUUGGGGAACUAUACAUCAUUGUAUUUUAAUCAGUGAGGGGAAGGAUAUUUUUUACUUUUAUUUGAUAAAAUCACUCCUUUUCAAUUCAAAGGGUAUCUUGUUGUUUUAAGCCCUGGCUAAUGAUACAAAGCCAACAUAUAGACCAUCACAUAACCUCAAAUCACGUGUAUGAAAUGAAUUUUGGGAUGUUGCUUGCAUCUUUAUUAAAAUACUGUUUACGUAGGUUGAAAUUCAGUCAUUUAAAAUGUGCAAUUUGGUUACAUUCAGUAUAUUCAGAGUCAUCACCCCAAUUUCAGGAAAUUCUUUCAUUCUAAAGAAAAUUCAGACCUUUCAACCAUUGCCUACCUCUUUCCUGGCUCACUGUUAAAGAACCAGUGAUAUACUUUGUAGAUUGUGUUCUUCUGGACAUUUUGUAUCAAAAUACUCAAUAUGUGUCCUGUCUUCUUUUGGGACUGCCUUCUUUCACUUAGCAGGUUCUCAAGAUUCAUUCAUGUUGUAGUUCUGUACUUUAUUUCCUCUUCUAAGUAAUGUCCUCUUGUGUGUAUUUUUAAUUCAUCAAGCAGUUGAUGGACUUGCAGUAGUUUCCAUUUCAACAGUUAUUCAUACUGCUGUGCAAAUACAUGUACAGCAUUUUGUGUGUGCCUGCUUUCAUUUCUCUUGGCUUCUGUGUGGAGUCAUGUGGUAACUCUCUGUGCUUAACCUUUGGAGAAACUAGCAGUGCCGGUCCAUUUUCCAAACUUAUUGCACCAUUUCACCUUCUUCCAGCAUUGUAUGAGAGUUACAGCAUCUCUGUAUCCUUGCCAAGAGUUUUUAUUCUUUUUGGUUGAAAGGUUCCAUGCAAAUGAAGUGAAAUCUGAUUGUGACUUUCCCUUGCAUUUGCAUUUUACUUUUAUAAUGCAACUUCCCUAUUGGUGAGUAAGGGUGUGGUGUUGGGCAUAUGUGUUUUCACAAGCCAAUUGACAUUUGUGUAUCUUCAUUGGACAAAUGUAUACUUAAGUUCAUCCUGCAUUUUCAGUUUGAGUUACCUUUUUCCUUUUCCUUUUUUUUGAGACAGGGUCUUACUGUGUAGCUCAGGCUUUCCUUGAACUCCUGAAAACAUCUGGCCUCAGCCUUUGGAGGGAUUCCAGGUGUAUGCCACCAUGCUCAGCUUUGGGUUAUCUUUUCUGCUUUUUAAUUGAAAUACUGACAGCUACAAGGAGAUAGGAUCAUCUCCCCAACCAUAGGGGAAACAAGAGAGAGAACUGAGCAGAUAAGCAGAUGCUGUAUUUCCCCCUGCAGCCUGGUGAAUUGAGACUCAGAUACCUCUGUCACAAAGGGAACAUUUCCAAUGCCUCUGGCUUCUGUUCAGCAGCAUGCACAUCAAAUGCAGCAUCUCUACCUAAAGCACUGUGAAAAGCCAUUAAAAUUCUCCCUGGACUGGCAGUGAGUCUCCUUGCUUAUGAUCUGUGUUCCACAUUCUGCGCUGAGAACUCUUAUUACUGGACUUCUAUCCUGGCUUCCAGCCUUCUGUGUUUUCCUGUCACUCCCUCACCUGUACCUACUGCUUUCUGCCAAAUAGGGUGAUCAGGGACAUCUCUGAGAUGCUGUCCCAGGACUUUGGUCUGGAUCUUACUGCUGAACAAGCUUACUCUCCUGACUCUGGGAAGCUGUGUCAGAGAGGACCAUCAUAAUUGAGCUUGAGAUCCGUGUUCUCUACUAUGCACUGAUCUGGCCUCUUUCCCUCCAGCAGGUCCAAGAAUGGUUACAGGAGAAGUUUGAGCAGGUCAGGGAUUAGCUAAGGAUUCAGGGAGCCAUGCAUGGCUCAGGAGGCCCCCAAACCCUUUCCUGCAGUGGGUAUCACUAGCUAUCUGUGCCCUCCCAGGAACCACAUUAAGGAGCUCACCUCCAAGUGUGUUAGGUUCAUAUAACACAUUAAACUGUCAUUAGGUCUUUUGCCUUACUAGACUCCCUAGAGCCCAGAGUAGCCAUUCAUGGCAAUUUGAAACACAAAGUGGUGGGGCUACCACAGAUGUCCUUGGGUCUCACAUUCCAGGUGUAUGCUAGAAAUGCCUGGAUAACUGUGCCAAAGGCCAUACUUAAACAUUAGUCAUGGUCUCCUGUCCCAUCUUCCUGGGAUUCAGACAAACAUACGGAGCAAGAAUCUCUAGACUUACACAGGGUGCAGGUCCAUAAGUCAUGUGGGAGGUGUUUGCCAAGACUGUCUCAUUCACCAAGUUUAGAUGUCAAUAACUGAGUAGCCAAGCCAGAACCACUGGCAAGAUGGCUAACCAGUAUCUGACUGACACUGUGUGGAGCCUGAGAUAAAUGAGAAAAUUCCUAUUCGAGUAGCCAGAGGUACACACAGCAUGAGUGCCAGCUCUUGGCCCUGGCUCCAGACUUCAUAGUGGAGCAUUUCUAUGAGUCACCUUCCACAUAUAACCAUAUGUCAGGCCAUUCCUAUACCCAGUAGAGGUGAGCCCCUUUUUCCUACUUCUUAAAAAUAUAACAGGAGGCAUGAGUAAAACUCCACAGGAAAGAAAUUGGGAAUCCCCAUGAGAGUAACCAGAAGGCAGAUGGACCAUAGCCCUCCUAAUGUAUGAACAGGAAACUAGGCCAUAUUUUACAGAGCCGUAUCACUGUGCCUACACACUAGAAAUCCAUGCAGUGAUGGUUAAAACCCUGGGGACUGGACACAAAUGCCCCAUUUCACCCUGAUGCUGCAAGACUGAAUAGAUGACUUCACCUUUAUCCAGGUGAAGAUAGGUAAAAGCCACACCACUGCGUUGUGUCAGGUCUAGAAGGGCAACAUUAGGGGUAGCCAUGAGUAAGUUUUCUUAAUCAGAAUGAGUCUGUCACCAAAGCUAGUGUGCCACCACCAGCAAAAUGACAACCAAGGAGAAUGAGCUUUCUGCAGACAGACUGCCUCUGGUGCUAUGACUUCUUCUGUGUCACCUGUUACCACCUUCAGCUUCAUGUUUCCCAAGGAUUUCUUAGGUCCCAACCAAGUCUAGGUGUGUUCAGAAGCUAAAAAUCAUGCAGAGGUUGCAAUUUAGUCAGUCACCAAACAGUAUCUUCUUUUUAUAGACACCGACCACGCACAACUUAUGAGGAACAACAGGGAAAGUCAUGGGUUCUAAGUAGUAUUAUGCUCCAAAGUCACAGUCACUAUACGUCACGCUCCCAAUGUGUGAGCCUGAUGGGACACACUGAAGCCUGAGAAAUCAUUGCUAGGGAGGCCUGACUCCAGAAGGCUACACCUUGGUCAGACCACAGUCUCCUCAACCUGCCUCCUCUCAUUUUCACAGGCAUUGAUCCCUAACACACUUAAGAUCUUAUCACCUAUCACAAAGCUUGACCUUGUUAUUGAGCAUCUCACAGAGGAUCAAGUGUUCCAGCAGCAUGGAGAGGCUUCCUAUGCAAGCCCCUCAUUGCAACAGGUUUACCUGACUGUCACCUGUGCAGAGAAUAAGUAUGCAGUUCACUGUUAGCUCCUGCAGGUCCUACACAAAAGUCAUGGAGACCCAGAAUGUGGGUGCUGAUCAGAGGCCCAGGCUCAUUUCCAAUAGCCUCUCAGGAGCCACCACCAAAGAGGAAUCUGUCCCUUCUGAUGUGGUAUGGGACCUGGCACACAUAAAAUGGUAACCCAACUCUGACUGGCCAUAGCUACAUAGUCUUAGGUUUAGAAGACAGAUGCCUUUGUCAAGAAACCCUAAAAGCUAUCAAAAGAAAUACUCUGCAGGGUUAUUUCCCUUUAUCCAGCUUCUAUGGAGAGUAGUAUUUUAAUACAUUUAUUUCUACAACUGCUUUGCUUUCUUUGGGUAAAUCCUACUCCACAGGAUUUCAUGCUGUCAAAGGUUGAGGCAUAUUUAGAUAUAUGUGCAUACUCAGUUCUAAAUUGGCUCAUAUUUGACUUCCUUAGAAAUCAUGUGGGUUUCCACACUGAUUAAUGAGUACAUUCAUGAAUACUCAAAAAGAACUGGGAAAUGGUGCCCUGUGGCCUCAAUAUACACCUCAGAGCUGUCACUUCUCCUGAGCUUGGUUCCCUCAACAUUAGUAAAAUUUGUUUGAAGGAUGAAAGGAUUUCUUCUGCAUAGUUGAGCAGCUCAUAUGAUCUACUGAUGACUUCAUUGUUGAGUCUCACAAAGUGAGGGCAUUAGGUGGUUUGUCUCAUGGAGGUUCUAGUGCACCUGUGUCCAUAGGACUGUGAUGUGUCCAUCCAACUGCCUCAUGAAAGAGGACUCUUUUCAGAUUAGAAUGCUAUGAGGGAAAGGUCACUAAGCAGGCCGCAUGUUCUUGAAAGUCAAGCUAAAGAAACUGAGUCUAUUGCCAGCCCAAAUGUUUACUGUAUAACCCAGUACAGAAAAUCCAGGCCUUUUUAUUAAGAUUUGACUCAGUUCAAUACAAUAACUCUUUAUGGAGCAGAUGGACAUUAAAAUCUGACUCACAAAGACAUAGAAUGGCAUCUGCAUAGGGCAGAUUUUAACACAAUCAGCACCCUGGCUGAUGUCCCAGCACUGGUUCCUUUGUGAAACAUCUUCUCUUUGCAUUCUCUUGUCUCUAUCUUGGAGUCACAAAUCAAAUAAAAACGUGGAACAUGAGAGAAUUGGAAA